rnacentral:rRNA from 1 species
AUUGAACGCUGGCGGCAUGCUUUACACAUGCAAGUCGAACGGUAACAGGCCGCAAGGUGCUGACGAGUGGCGAACGGGUGAGUAAUGCAUCGGAACGUGCCCAGUCGUGGGGGAUAACUACUCGAAAGAGUAGCUAAUACCGCAUACGAUCUAUGGAUGAAAGCGGGGGACCGUAAGGCCUCGCGCGAUUGGAGCGGCCGAUGUCAGAUUAGGUAGUUGGUGGGGUAAAGGCUCACCAAGCCAACGAUCUGUAGCUGGUCUGAGAGGACGACCAGCCACACUGGGACUGAGACACGGCCCAGACUCCUACGGGAGGCAGCAGUGGGGAAUUUUGGACAAUGGGCGCAAGCCUGAUCCAGCAAUGCCGCGUGCAGGAAGAAGGCCUUCGGGUUGUAAACUGCUUUUGUACGGAACGAAACGGCUCUGGUUAAUACCCGGGGCUAAUGACGGUACCGCAAGAAUAAGCACCGGCUAACUACGUG